rnacentral:rRNA from 1 species
UACAGAGGGGGCGAGCGUUAAUCGGAAUUACUGGGCGUAAAGCGCGCGUAGGCGGCUUUGUAAGUCGGGUGUGAAAUCCUCAGGCUUAACCUGGGAACUGCAUUCGAGACUGCAUUGCUAGAGUAUGGGAGAGGGAAGUGGAAUUUCCGGUGUAGCGGUGAAAUGCGUAGAUAUCGGAAGGAACAUCAGUGGCGAAAGCGACUUCCUGGACCAAAACUGACGCUCAUGUGCGAAAGCGUGGGGAGCAAACAGG